UACGUAGGGUGCGAGCGUUAAUCGGAAUUACUGGGCGUAAAGCGUGCGCAGGCGGCGCGUUAAGACAGGUGUGAAAGCCCCGAGCUUAACUUGGGAAUUGCGCUUGUGACUGGCGUGCUGGAGUGUGGCAGAGGGAGGUGGAAUUCCACGUGUAGCAGUGAAAUGCGUAGAGAUGUGGAGGAACACCGAUGGCGAAGGCAGCCUCCUGGGCCAGCACUGACGCUCAUGCACGAAAGCGUGGGGAGCAAACGGG
rnacentral:rRNA from 1 species